UGUUAUACUUUAUGGUCGUGUCUGUGCCUUAAAUGCAAAAUACAUUUAAAAUCUAUGUAUUAGGCGACAGAUGUCUUGUUCAUUAUAGAAAAUCUGUAUCUACGAGGAUUGAGCACCUCCUUCUGUAGAACACCAACUUGGGAGCGAGAAGGAACUUGAUGGUGAUGAAUGGUUGACUGGUUAUUGUGGCAGUUGGCACCAUGCGUUAUAAUACAUAUCUGGUUCUAUUCAUUCUGGUAUGCUCUAUUUCUCUGCUGUCUGUCAUACUCACAAGGAGAUACUACCACACAAGGAGUGGUGGGUUUGACCGCCAUGCAGCUUUUCUCUGUAACAGACUGAGACUCAAGUUCCUCACUCUCACUUCAGCCAAGGCUAUCAACAUGAGUACUCUAAUAAUGGACGUUAGACAGUUGAUGAACUGCCCUCACAGACCCAACAUCACCCAGAGAGAACUCUACAGG